UUGCAUUCUUAAAAACCCCCCUGGAGUUGACAGUAGCUUCUGGGACAAGCAAGAAUGCUAAAGCAAAGAAAACAGAUCUUUCCAAGGUGAAGUCUUGCCUUUUGUUUGCACUUCACCAUUUCAGAUCUUUGACAAAU